UACGAAGGGGGCUAGCGUUGUUCGGAAUUACUGGGCGUAAAGCGCACGUAGGCGGAUUGGAAAGUUGGGGGUGAAAUCCCCGGGCUCAACCCGGGAACUGCCUUCAAAACUUCCAGUCUAGAGGUCAGGAGAGGCGAGCGGAAUUCCGAGUGUAGAGGUGAAAUUCGUAGAUAUUCGGAGGAACACCAGUGGCGAAGGCGGCUCGCUGGACUGAUACUGACGCUGAGGUGCGAAAGCGUGGGGAGCAAACAGG
rnacentral:rRNA from 1 species